UUUUUGCUAUUUCUUUGGGCUGCUCCCGAGGCAUAUGGAGGUUCCCAGGCUAGGGGUUGAAUCGGAGCUGUAGCCACCGGCCUACGCCAGAGUCACAGCAACGCAGGAUCCAAGCCGUGUCUGCAACCUACAUCAUAGCUCACAGCAAUGCUGGAUCGUUAACCCACUGAGCAAGGGCAGGGACCGAAUCCGCAGCCUCAAAAAAGUUAACCACUGCGCCACGACGGGAACUCCUAAAUUCAAUGUAUUUCUGAGUUCAGUCAUGAAAUCAUGUUUUUGGUUUAUCCUACACAUGAAAUUUAUCUUUUUUUAUAUAAGUAUCAUACAAUAUUUAUACCUAAUCCUGAAUCUGUAUGAAUGCUGUGCUGUCUUUAGGGGUGGGUUGCAGGGAUUAUUCCAUUAUUGGAUCACUAUUUUGUGACUGUGAAUAAGGUUUUUUAUGAUUUACUUGCCAUAAAUUCCAAUGAAAUAAAUACUCACCAACCUCUAUGAGUCUGUAUACAUAUCUAUUUCAACAAUAAAUUCAGUAGAAGUCACAAUAAUUUGCAAUGGAGGCACUGAAUAUGACAGACAUUUCAAAUACAUAAUUAAGCUUGGAGCAAUAUACCCUAAAUUGUCAUUUUGGAAGUUGAAGGACAACUUAAGAUUCUUUAGCCAGUUAAUUGUUCAAAAAUUGGAAUUUCCAAUGUAAGUCACAAUUUCAGAGAUUUAUAUUGGGGAGAAAACUCAGCGUGACAAAUAUGGUCAGCGUUCUGAGUGACCAUGCUAUUGCCAGUCUCGAUUGUCAUGCACACAAAAAUAUUACCAUAUUUUGCUAUUAGAAAGUAUUCUUUCAGAGUUCCCAUUGUGGCUCAGUGGGAGGAAGGAGUUUCAAUCCCUGGCUUUGCUCAGUGGGUUAAGAAUCCAGCAUUGCCAUGAGCUGUUUUGUAGGUCUCAGAUGUGGCUUGGAUAGGCCCGUAGCUGCAGCUCUGAUUCGACUCCUGGCCUGGAAACUUCCAUAUGCUACAGGUGUGGCCCUAAAAAAGGAAAUUAAAAAAAAAAAAAAGUGUUCUUUCAUUCUCCAAUAGAACUCUGUAGUCAAGCAUUAAACAAAAUUUUAAAGGAAACAAGAAGAAGACAGGACAAGAGAUAGGAGGACAGCAGAAACCCAGACCCAGGCUCAACCCAUACAGAUUCAAUGUGCCACAUGGGGCAACACAACCUUUGGCAAACUUUAGACCACAGACUGAAUGUUUUAGGAGUCCACUGAAUUUAAAUGUGUGGUCAUCAUAUUUCAAAGGUGCUAAUGUAGUAGUUUUUUGAAAAUUAUCCAAGGCAGAGAAAAUACUCCCUCGUGGUAACAUCCUAACUACAGAAAACAAUGAGCAUGUUUGCAGUGGGGAUUGGAAGAUGAGAUUUUUUUCUAAAUUUUCUACCAAACUCACCUAACCUUUCAGGUUACAGCAAAGGAAUUACAAUGCAGAAAGCCAUACCAAGUUCUAAGUUUUCACAUGCUCAUAAUGCACUAUUCUAGAAUGUUUUAGAGUUUUAUCACUGACCUUUGCUGGAAAUUGUAUUGUGCAUCUUGAGGCCCAGAACCAAUAGUUGAGAGUUAUGGCUAAACAAGGCUGUCAGAAAAGGCACUGUUGUAUUUCAAGUCUUUACAAGCAGAUUUUUUUGGCAGGACUUGCGAAAGCAGGAAAGGAACUUCUUUAGGUCUGUGAGCCACCAGGAGAUCUGAGUGACAUGUGUGGGGUUUACUAGCCAUGUUGAACAAGUAGAAAGAAAACUUGAAUGGAAGUCAGGGAAUCAUCUUAUAUCCUGGCUCUUCCAUCAAAACUCUUUUUAUGGGUGUAUAGGAUGCAUUUUCCCCAUCCAAAAGCCCAUCCAGAAAUUCUCCCACAUGCAUUAGAUAUAAAAUAAUGAGUGAUGUCACCUUUAGUGGUGAAAUAAGGAAACAAAAUACAACAGCAAAGAUGAGUUUCACAUCAUAAUGGUAAUUUCCCUUAACAAAAAUAACAAACCACAGACCACCCAACGUAUCAAAAGGAAAGUAUGGGUUAUUACUCAACCAUUUUAGGUUUAAAUUUGUUACUACCAUAAUGGUGCUACAUAUUAAUAUUGAUUGACAUUUACGUAUUUUUUGGUAGUGCUGAGGUUUUCGAAUAUUUUUGCAAAGUAAGACAUCUUUUGCUGCUAUAGAAUCUGAUAUCCUACCAGAUUCAAAUAUAUAGGAUACCACAUUUGCAAUACCAAAAUUAAAAAAACUCAUUUUGUACUUUCAGAUCACUGUCUAUAUACGAUGAAAAGUAUUUAAUAUUUUUGUUUCCAAAAAUUUCUCUGUAAAACAAGAUGCAUCUUGUACACAUCUGUAUGCCUUAAAAAACAGUAAUUAUAUUGGAUAUAUUUAUUUCUUUGUGUUACAAUUUUUUUAUUUGCCUUGUGGAGAUGAUACAGGCCCCUACUAAGUUCACUUGGCUGUUGCAAACAUCAAGAUCAUUUAUGCAAAAGUUUUCUGAGAUAAAUCAAGCCUUAUGCAAAAUGCCCUUAUGCUAAGAGUAGCUACAUGAGCAACUAGAGCUUAACUUAGAUCCCUUUGGGGAAAGAAUAUAGAACUUCCUCUACUGUAGCUAGGUGAUAAGACCUGCCUUUUUCCUUGGCUAACAGCCAGAUAACCCUAGAGAAGAAAAAAACAUUUGAGAGAAUUUUUGAAGGCUGGUAGGAAGUUGAAUUUUCUUGCCAAUGGAAUCUGCUGAACUAUGGAUUUAUACACAUGAUUUUCCAAGUUGGCCUUUAAUUUCCACCUAUUUUUCAAGAGUUUAAAGAGAGAAGGCCACAAAGAGGUAAAAGAGGUAAAUUAUUUUUGUUUGUUGGUAAACAUAAAAUCACAUUAUCAGGAGUUCCCGUCAUGGCGCAGUGGUUAACGAAUCCAACUAGGAACCAUGAGGUUGCAGGUUUGACCCCUGCCCUUGCUCAGUGGGUUAACGAUCUGGCGUUGCUGUGAGCUGUGGUGUAGGUCACAGAUGAGGCUCGGAUCCUGCGUUGCUGUGGCUCUGGCAUAGGCUGG
ensembl:lncRNA